CCUACGGGAGGCUGCAGUAGGGAAUUUUCGGCAAUGGGCGGAACCCUGACCGAGCAACGUCGCGUGAACGAUGAAGUCCCUAUUAAUGUAAAGUUCCUUUUAUAGGGAAGUAAGAGAAAUUUGACGGUACCUGAUGCAUAAGCUCUGUCUAACUACGUGCCAGCAGCCGCGGUAAUAAGCCGGGAGCGAGCGUUAUCCGGAGUUAUUGGGCUUAAAGGGUGGGUUGAUGGCAUAGUAAGUCUUUUGUAAAAGUGCUGGGCUCAAGCCAAUAGGGCAAAAGAUACUGGAAAUUUGGAGUAUAGCAGAGGCAGGUGGAAGUAGAGGUGUAGCGGUAAAAUGCGGAAAUAUAAGUAAGAACACCAGUGGCGAAGGCAGCUUGCUGGGUCGAUACUGACAUUGAGGCACGAAAGCGUGGGGAGCAAACAGGAUUAGAUACCCUUGUAGUC
rnacentral:rRNA from 1 species